CAUGGAUCCCCGCUCGUUCCUUCUGUCUAAAACUUUGCCGAGAAAGGUUUUCGUCUUUUGCCAUCCAGUCUCCUCGAAGCUAACAGUAAAUACAGCAAGAUUAGCAUUCUCGCUCAGGAGCGUCUGCUUGGGGCUGCAUUGGGAAUUGCAUUAGCGGGGGUGGUUGUUUUUGAGCAACGCAAAUGCAUCUACAAGUCCAUUUCAGAUAAUCAAUCUCAAUUUUUCGAUCAAUCUCAGAGAGAGCCCAUACUUGGAAGGAAAUCUCGCUUGGAGUUUGCACACCUAUGGAACAAAGCUGUGGGCCAGACACUGGGCCUUGUGAUUGAGUCUCUUAGUUCACGUGGGUGGUAAAAUGUUGAGUUAUGACCAUGUCUUCUUUUUUUUCUGGACAUAGAAACGUGCUCUGAUUUCACCUCAUGUUUUUGUAUUCUAUCGAUUUGAAAAUUGAUCAUCUGGGAUGCUGUGCAUGAUUCAAAAA